rnacentral:rRNA from 1 species
UACGUAGGCAGCAAGCGUUAUCCGGAUUUACUGGGUUUAAAGGGUGCGUAGGUGGGUCUGUAAGUCAGUGGUGAAAUCUCCGAGCUUAACUCGGAAACUGCCAUUGAUACUAUAGGUCUUGAAUUAUCUGGAGGUGAGCGGAAUAUGUCAUGUAGCGGUGAAAUGCUUAGAUAUGACAUAGAACACCAAUUGCGAAGGCAGCUCACUACGGAUAUAUUGACACUGAGGCACGAAAGCGUGGGGACCAAACAGG